UCCACGGACCGCGCACCCCGGGAGGGACAGAUCCCCAGCCCCAACAUCCUCUGACCUCGCCCCUCUGGCUUCCUCCCGCGGUUCGCUGUAAGAAGGGCCGGCUGCUCCAGCGGGUUAACUCUCAGAAAACGUCUGUCUUUCCGACUCCCCAGCUGAACACUUUCGCCAGUCCUUCUGCAACCAACUAAUAAGACAUACACUAUGUACUUUCCGAGAGACCAUGAAGUUCUGAAGUGAACCAUGGAGACCGUGUCUAAUAUACUGAGAGUUGACAGUAUGUCAAAAAAUAUGAUAACAAAAUAAAGCACUAUUAGAGGAGUGACAGAAAAUGACCAAGACCAUAACAGAAACAAAGAAUCUACAGAGAACAUGCAGAAACCCUCACCAGAACUCUUCCCGGCCUGAUUACUUUUAAGUAUAAGGGACACAGCUGAAGGCCAUCUCCACCUACACUCUCUUAAAACAAUAGCAUUGUUUACCUACCUGUUUCCUGAGACAUGGAUGGUUUUGUAAGUUUGAACACCUGUUACCUGACACAAAGAAAACUCCAGUCGAUGGCCCAGCAACCACCCACAUGUGCAGUCUGAA